AUAGAUAAUGUGCCCCUUAGUUCGGGAUAGCCACUGGAAAUGGUGAUUAAUACCGGAUACUCCUUCUUGUUAUAAGACAAGUCGGGAAAGUUUUUCGCUAAGGGAUCAGUCUAUGUUCCAUCAGCUUGUUGGUGAGGUAAUGGCUCACCAAGGCUAUGACGGAUAUCUGGUUUGAGAGGAUGAUCAGACACACUGGAACUGAGACACGGUCCAGACUCCUACGGGAGGCAGCAGUGAGGAAUAUUGCACAAUGGAGGAAACUCUGAUGCAGCAACGCCGCGUGGAGGAUGACGCAUCUCGGUGUGUAAACUCCUUUUAUUAGGGAAGAUAAUGACGGUACCUAAUGAAUAAGCACCGGCUAACUCCGUGCCAGCAGCCGCGGUAAUACGGAGGGUGCAAGCGUUACUCGGAAUCACUGGGCGUAAAGGGUGCGUAGGCUGGCUUUUAAGUCAGAUGUGAAAUCCAAUGGCUCAACCAUUGAACUGCAUUUGAAACUGAAAGCCUAGAGUUCAGAAGGGGCAGAUGGAAUUAGUGGUGUAGGGGUAAAAUCCGUAGAUAUCACUAGGAAUAUCAAAAGCGAAGGCGAUCUGCUGGGAUGAU
rnacentral:rRNA from 1 species